AGUGAACGCUGGCGGCGUGCUUAACACAUGCAAGUCGAACGAGAACGGGUUAUAGCUUGCUAUAAUUGUCAGCUAAGUGGCGCACGGGUGAGUAAUGUAUAGGUAAUAUGCCUCUUACUAAGGGAUAACAAAUGGAAACGUUUGCUAAUACCUUAUACUCCUUAUUAACAGAAGUUAAUAAGGGAAAGAUUUAUUGGUAAGAGAUUAGCCUGUAUUGUAUCAGUUAGUUGGUGGGGUAAUGGCCUACCAAGACUAUGACACAUAACUGGUUUGAGAGGAUGAUCAGUCACACUGGAACUGAGACACGGUCCAGACUCCUACGGGAGGCAGCAGUGGGGAAUAUUGCACAAUGGACGAAAGUCUGAUGCAGCAACGCCGCGUGGAGGAUGACACAUUUCGGUGCGUAAACUCCUUUUAUAUGAGAAGAUAAUGACGGUAUUAUAUGAAUAAGCACCGGCUAACUCCGUGCCAGCCGCCGCGGUAACAC
rnacentral:rRNA from 1 species